rnacentral:misc_RNA from 1 species
GGGGAAUAUGUUCAACUUCAUCCUUCAUGUUCGCUGCAAGUGUAUGGCCAAAAGCCAAACUGGGUUGUCUUUGCUGAACUCUUAUCUGUAUCAAGUCAAUAUUUGGUCUGUGUUACUGCAGUUGACUUUGAUUGUUUGUCUGCAUUUAGUCCUCCUUUAUUUGACCUUUCGAAGAUGCAGAGUAAAAAAUUGCAGUUGAGGGUGAUCAGAGGAUUUGGCAGUAUUAUUUUAAGAAGGUUCUGUGGAAAGUCAAAUAAUAGUUUGCUCUCUCUUCUGUCUCGCAUACAGACAAAAUUGAAGGAUGAGCGGAUAGGUAUUGAAAUGAAUGUGGAUAGUAAUGAGAUUCUAUUAUAUGCAUCUGUACAAGACAUGGAAAAGGUGAAUGGCCUUGUUGUUGAUGCAUUAGAAUAUGAAGUAAAAUGGUUAAGAAAUGAGUGCCUGGAGAAGUGCUUGUAUCAUGGGGGACGAGCUGGUGCUUCUCCACCAGUAGCGCUUCUUGGAGCUGGUGCGGAAAUUAAGCAUCUGGAGUUGGAAAGUAGAAAUUUGAGUGUGGACGUGUUCCUUUCAAAUACAAAUGGUGCAGACGACAAGGAGGUCUUGGCAUUCAUUGAAAAAUCAGUGCCUGGGGUGUGUGGUUUUCACAGAUUUGCAGGAAGUGGACAGGAUAGUGACGAUUUGGAGAAGUGGGGCAGGGUAACAUUUCUUACUCCUGAAGCAGCUGGGAAAGCACUAGAGUUAAAUGGAUUUGAGUUAUCUGGUUCUUUACUUAAGUUGUCACCUGCUAGAUCAUCUGUUGGAAGUGGUAAUAAAUUAUCAUCAUUUGCAGCUGUAAAAGCCAAAGUCACUUGGCCACGAAGGUACAGUAAAGGUUAUGCUGUUAUUAGAUGUGAAAGGAAUGAUGCUGAGCAUGUUGUUGCAGAUUGCUUUAAUCUGCUGAUUGGAGGCAGGAUAGUUCAUUGUGAGCUGAGCCAAAAGGAUAUAAACUGUGUUAUUAUCAGAGGAUUGGAUAGAGAUACUUCUGAAUUGGAAAUACUUGAAGUUCUGCAAAUGCACACAACUAAGAGAAUUUUGGAUGUAUUCCUGAUACGAGGUGAUGCCGUAAAUAAUCCUCCUCUUGGUGCUUGUGA